rnacentral:rRNA from 1 species
UACAGAGGGGGCAAGCGUUGUUCGGAAUUACUGGGCGUAAAGGGCGCGUAGGCGGCCUGUUAAGUCGAACGUGAAAUCCCCGGGCUCAACCCGGGAACUGCGUCCGAUACUGGCAGGCUUGAAUCCGGGAGAGGGAUGCGGAAUUCCAGGUGUAGCGGUGAAAUGCGUAGAGAUCGGGAGGAACACCAGUGGCGAAGGCGGCCGGCUGGGGGUGCCCUGACGCUGAGGCGCGAAAGCGUGGGGAGCGAACCGG